UGAGGAACAUGACCUUCGGCGGGGGAUAGCCGGCCCAACGGCCGGGUAAUACCGCGUACGACCACAUGGGGACAUCCCUGAGUGGUGAAAGCAGCAAUGCGCCGAUGGAGUGCCUCGCGGCCUAUCAGCUUGUUGGUGAGGUAAUGGCUCACCAAGGCGACGACGGGUAGCCGGCCUGAGAGGGCGAUCGGCCACACUGGGACUGAGACACGGUCCAGACUCCUAGGGACGG
rnacentral:rRNA from 1 species